AGGUACUCUAUGUGAAGAGUAUUUCAUGAAACGCCUCAGUAUUCUCUUCCAGACAUCAAAGAAAGUUUUGUACAAAGAGCGAUUUCUUCACGACGGUGAAUCUUCAUGCUUCAUGGAUGAACGAGCCUUCCAUCCCACCCAAACGAGGGAAGCAGCCCCUGUAGUUCAGCGCGAAAACACGGAUCUCUAACAGCCUCUCCAUAAUGUGACAUUGCUCCACUCUGAUUAAAACAGAAGAAGCUGCGAUGCUGGCUGUACACCAACAUGUGGAGGUGAUGUGAACUGAAAAGGUGAGAGGCCUUGUGCAAAAUGUCACCAGCACCUGCGUGCAGUUAAAGAAAAAAAAGAAAAAGAAAAAGCAGGGUUCAAUAUUAAUCACGAACAAACAGGGUGUCAUUCAAAUGGUGUUCAUUUCCUCUCUCUCUCUCUCUCUCUCUCUCUCUCUCUCUCUCUCUCUCUCUCUCUCUCUCUCUCUCUCUCUCUCUCUCUCUCUCUCUCUCCACGUGGCCAGUGUUGUUUUAACUAUAAUUAGAUAUUAGUGCAUUUUAGACGGUCCUCUCCAGUGGCACACAUUUCUUAUGAUCUAUAUAUAAAAAAACAUUGGUAACACUGCUGCCUAUACAUGACCAAAGCAAUAACAAUCCCUUUAUAAAUAUGUCGGUAAAAAAUGUUUCAAGUUGUAUAUUUCUCCAGAUAGAAAGAACAAAAGCAUGUUUAGUUUAAUCUAUUUGUUACCAGCAGCAUGGGAUAAUGAAAAUAAUGCUGCAAUGUUUUUAUCCAUCUCGAGGAAGCGGUCUUAUA